GUGCUCCCUUUGGCAGCACAUAUAAUAAAAUAGGAAUGAUACAGAGAAGAUUAGCAUGGCCCUGUGUAAAGAUGACAUGCAAAUUCAUGAAGCCCUCGAUAUUUUU